GAAACUUAAAGGAAUUGGCGGGGGAGCACCACAACGGGUGGAGCCUGCGGUUCAAUUGGACUCAACGCCGAAAAGCUCACCGGGAGCGACAGCAGAACGAAGGCCAGGCUGAAGACCUUGCCAGACUAGCUGAGAGGUGGUGCAUGGCCGUCGUCAGUUCGUACUGUGAAGCAUCCUGUUAAGUCAGGCAACGAGCGAGACCCGCGCCCAUAGUUGCCUGCAAUCCCUCCGGGGAGAUGGGUACACUAUGGGGACCGCCUCUGCUAAAGAGGAGGAAGGAACGGGCAACGGUAGGUCAGCAUGCCCCGAAUCUCCCGGGCUACACGCGGGCUACAAUGGUCGGGACAAUGGGUAUCGACACCGAAAGGUGAAGGCAAUCUCCUAAACCCGAUCUUAGUUCGGAUUGGGGGCUGAAACUCGCCCCCAUGAAGAUGGAAUCCGUAGUAAUCGCGUCUCAAAAUGGCGCGGUGAAUAGGUCCCUGCUCCUUGCACACACCGCCCGUCAAACCACCCGAGUGAGGUCUGGGUGAGGCUGCCUCUCAUUGGGGCAUUCGAACUUGGGUUUCGCAAGGGGGGUUAAGUCGUAACAA
rnacentral:rRNA from 1 species